rnacentral:rRNA from 1 species
GACGAACGCUGGCGGCGUGCCUAAUACAUGCAAGUAGAACGCACAGUUUAUACCGUAGCUUGCUACACCAUAGACUGUGAGUUGCGAACGGGUGAGUAGCGCGUAGGUAACCUGCCUGGUAGCGGGGGAUAACUAUUGGAAACGAUAGCUAAUACCGCAUAAUAUUAAUUAUUGCAUGAUAAUUAAUUGAAAGGUGCAAUUGCACCACUACCAGAUGGACCUGCGUUGUAUUAGCUAGUAGGUGAGGUAGCGGCUCACCUAGGCGACGAUACAUAGCCGACCUGAGAGGGUGAUCGGCCACACUGGGACUGAGACACGGCCCAGACUCCUACGGGAGGCAGCAGUAGGGAAUCUUCGGCAAUGGACGAAAGUCUGACCGAGCAACGCCGCGUGAGUGAAGAAGGGUUUCGGAUCGUAAAGCUCUGUUGUAAGAGAAGAACGGGUGUGAGAGUGGAAAGUUCACACUGUGACGGUAUCUUACCAGAAAGGGACGGCUAACUACGUG